rnacentral:tRNA from 1 species
ACCUGGGUAGCUUAGUCGGUUAAGUGUCUGACUUUGGCUCAGGUCAUGAUCUCACGGUUCACAGGUUCAAGCCCUGCGUCAGGCU